rnacentral:rRNA from 1 species
UUAAGCGACUAAGCGUACACGGUGGAUGCCCUGGCAGUCAGAGGCGAUGAAGGACGUGCUAAUCUGCGAUAAGCGUCGGUAAGGUGAUAUGAACCGUUAUAACCGGCGAUUUCCGAAUGGGGAAACCCAGUGUGAUUCGUCACACUAUCAUUAACUGAAUCCAUAGGUUAAUGAGGCGAACCGGGGGAACUGAAACAUCUAAGUACCCCGAGGAAAAGAAAUCAACCGAGAUUCCCCCAGUAGCGGCGAGCGAACGGGGAGCAGCCCAGAGCCUGAAUCAGUGUGUGUGUUAGUGGAAGCGUCUGGAAAGGCGUGCGAUACAGGGUGACAGCCCCGUACACAAAAAUGCACAUGCUGUGAGCUCGAUGAGUAGGGCGGGACACGUGGUAUCCUGUCUGAAUAUGGGGGGACCAUCCUCCAAGGCUAAAUACUCCUGACUGACCGAUAGUGAACCAGUACCGUGAGGGAAAGGCGAAAAGAACCCCGGCGAGGGGAGUGAAAAAGAACCUGAAACCGUGUACGUACAAGCAGUGGGAGCACAGAGCAAUCUGUGUGACUGCGUACCUUUUGUAUAAUGGGUCAGCGACUUAUAUUCUGUAGCAAGGUUAACCGAAUAGGGGAGCCGAAGGGAAACCGAGUCUUAACUGGGCGUUAAGUUGCAGGGUAUAGACCCGAAACCCGGUGAUCUAGCCAUGGGCAGGUUGAAGGUUGGGUAACACUAACUGGAGGACCGAACCGACUAAUGUUGAAAAAUUAGCGGAUGACUUGUGGCUGGGGGUGAAAGGCCAAUCAAACCGGGAGAUAGCUGGUUCUCCCCGAAAGCUAUUUAGGUAGCGCCUCGUGAAUUCAUCUCCGGGGGUAGAGCACUGUUUCGGCAAGGGGGUCAUCCCGACUUACCAACCCGAUGCAAACUGCGAAUACCGGAGAAUGUUAUCACGGGAGACACACGGCGGGUGCUAACGUCCGUCGUGAAGAGGGAAACAACCCAGACCGCCAGCUAAGGUCCCAAAGUCAUGGUUAAGUGGGAAACGAUGUGGGAAGGCCCAGACAGCCAGGAUGUUGGCUUAGAAGCAGCCAUCAUUUAAAGAAAGCGUAAUAGCUCACUGGUCGAGUCGGCCUGCGCGGAAGAUGUAACGGGGCUAAACCAUGCACCGAAGCUGCGGCAGCGACGCUUAUGCGUUGUUGGGUAGGGGAGCGUUCUGUAAGCCUGCGAAGGUGUGCUGUGAGGCAUGCUGGAGGUAUCAGAAGUGCGAAUGCUGACAUAAGUAACGAUAAAGCGGGUGAAAAGCCCGCUCGCCGGAAGACCAAGGGUUCCUGUCCAACGUUAAUCGGGGCAGGGUGAGUCGACCCCUAAGGCGAGGCCGAAAGGCGUAGUCGAUGGGAAACAGGUUAAUAUUCCUGUACUUGGUGUUACUGCGAAGGGGGACGGAGAAGGCUAUGUUGGCCGGGCGACGGUUGUCCCGGUUUAAGCGUGUAGGCUGGUUUUCCAGGCAAAUCCGGAAAACUAAGGCUGAGGCGUGAUGACGAGGCACUACGGUGCUGAAGCAACAAAUGCCCUGCUUCCAGGAAAAGCCUCUAAGCAUCAGGUAACAUCAAAUCGUACCCCAAACCGACACAGGUGGUCAGGUAGAGAAUACCAAGGCGCUUGAGAGAACUCGGGUGAAGGAACUAGGCAAAAUGGUGCCGUAACUUCGGGAGAAGGCACGCUGAUAUGUAGGUGAAGUCCCUCGCGGAUGGAGCUGAAAUCAGUCGAAGAUACCAGCUGGCUGCAACUGUUUAUUAAAAACACAGCACUGUGCAAACACGAAAGUGGACGUAUACGGUGUGACGCCUGCCCGGUGCCGGAAGGUUAAUUGAUGGGGUCAGCGCAAGCGAAGCUCUUGAUCGAAGCCCCGGUAAACGGCGGCCGUAACUAUAACGGUCCUAAGGUAGCGAAAUUCCUUGUCGGGUAAGUUCCGACCUGCACGAAUGGCGUAAUGAUGGCCAGGCUGUCUCCACCCGAGACUCAGUGAAAUUGAACUCGCUGUGAAGAUGCAGUGUACCCGCGGCAAGACGGAAAGACCCCGUGAACCUUUACUAUAGCUUGACACUGAACAUUGAGCCUUGAUGUGUAGGAUAGGUGGGAGGCUUUGAAGUGUGGACGCCAGUCUGCAUGGAGCCGACCUUGAAAUACCACCCUUUAAUGUUUGAUGUUCUAACGUUGACCCGUGAUCCGGGUUGCGGACAGUGUCUGGUGGGUAGUUUGACUGGGGCGGUCUCCUCCUAAAGAGUAACGGAGGAGCACGAAGGUUGGCUAAUCCUGGUCGGACAUCAGGAGGUUAGUGCAAUGGCAUAAGCCAGCUUGACUGCGAGCGUGACGGCGCGAGCAGGUGCGAAAGCAGGUCAUAGUGAUCCGGUGGUUCUGAAUGGAAGGGCCAUCGCUCAACGGAUAAAAGGUACUCCGGGGAUAACAGGCUGAUACCGCCCAAGAGUUCAUAUCGACGGCGGUGUUUGGCACCUCGAUGUCGGCUCAUCACAUCCUGGGGCUGAAGUAGGUCCCAAGGGUAUGGCUGUUCGCCAUUUAAAGUGGUACGCGAGCUGGGUUUAGAACGUCGUGAGACAGUUCGGUCCCUAUCUGCCGUGGGCGCUGGAGAACUGAGGGGGGCUGCUCCUAGUACGAGAGGACCGGAGUGGACGCAUCACUGGUGUUCGGGUUGUCAUGCCAAUGGCACUGCCCGGUAGCUAAAUGCGGAAGAGAUAAGUGCUGAAAGCAUCUAAGCACGAAACUUGCCCCGAGAUGAGUUCUCCCUGACUCCUUGAGAGUCCUGAAGGAACGUUGAAGACGACGACGUUGAUAGGCCGGGUGUGUAAGCGCAGCGAUGCGUUGAGCUAACCGGUACUAAUGAACCGUGAGGCUUAACCUU